CAGCAGCCGCGGGAAUACAGAGGAUGCAAGCGUUAAUCGGAAUUACUGGGCGUAAAGCGUGCGCAGGCGGUUUGUUAAGACAGAUGUGAAAUCCCCGGGCUCAACCUGGGAACUGCAUUUGUGACUGGCAAGCUAGAGUAUGGCAGAGGGGGGUGGAAUUCCGCGUGUAGCAGUGAAAUGCGUAGAUAUGCGGAGGAACACCGAUGGCGAAGGCAGCCCCCUGGGCCAAUACUGACGCUCAUGCACGAAAGCGUGGGGAGCAAACAGGAUUAGAUACCCCGGUAGUCCCUGUCUCUUAUAC
rnacentral:rRNA from 1 species